GUUCAACGAGCAGGAAUAUGGUUCUCUUCGUCCCUUGCCCUUGGUACCAACGUGGUUGCCAACAUAACUGACAGACUAUCCUCCGACAAAGCUUGCUAUCAUAACCGUGUGAAAUGUCAUUGCUCUUUCUACUUUUAACCCACAUGGUGGGCCCAUAACCAGUUCCACAGGAUCGAAACCUGGCUCUCCUGUACAACCUUGAUUCCGAAAUAUCCUUUGCACUUGCCUUCAUAUGUAAUUCACGAGCUAAUUCCCUUACCAUGUUUCAUUCCGGUAUCAGUUGCAACAUUCUUCUUUUUUUCCUUGGACCCCUUUGACAUUCUGAUUAGGCAUCGAACGAUUGCCUAUCCGUUUGAAACUUCUCAUUAUACCUUCUUAUUUUGCUCUCAAUGUUUUUCAUAAGUUAAAUUCGACAGUUACGUUCCACCACCUCCCCUGAGUUAUCUCCCAGAUAAGCACCCUUGUAGAGGUCCGUUCUUCCAAAGCUACCCCUUAUCCUUUUCGUGAGUAUAAUGGAAUCCCGAAGAAAGUAUGACAACUUCAUCAUGAUGACCUGAAGUAGAGAAAUGAAGACAGCAAUGAAAUGGAUUGACCUCUUUGAGAAGAGCAACCAAGACCGAAAAUAACCGUUAGAAUUUCAUAACCAGAACUUUCCCCGCAACUCCACCUCUUAAAUCUCGGGACGAGAUUUCUUGUAGUGGAGGAGAUUUGUAACACCCCUGGUGUCAUGCUACAGUACACUCCUGUUGAUGGUGCCAAGUCAUCACAAUUAUUUUUGCUAAUGAUCACUUUGUUCCAAAUCAAAAUUCAAACUCAUAUUCAAAUUGCAUGUCAAAUUAUUUUUCUUCAAAAAUAAAACAAAAAUGUUGGUUGGGUUGCAGAUAUUCUGUAUGGAGUUAUCAUGUACAAACCAACAUCAUUUGACUCAUAGAUAAAUUCCUAGAAUUUAAUAAAUGGUCCAACAGCUUUAAAACAAGCCAUUUUUUAUUUUGAACAAUUAGUCUAACUUUUCCGAAUGCUCUGAAACUUUUUGCGCAGCCUUAGGAUAACACCGGGUAUUUAUGUGCCAAGUUUCUUCUACAACUAAAAUGAUUUGCUACUAAAAGUAAAUGCCAAAUAAAUAAAUAAAAUAUAAAAAAGGAAAGAAAAAGAAAGAGCUAGGCAGACUGGGCUCUAGUCCACAGUGGACAACCCAACCCACCUCACCUCAUCUCCCUUCUCGCUACAGGAGCAGAGGGUAAUCGUGGCAUCCAUCCGCCGGCGAUGGCCGUGCGUGGCGGCCAUCCACGCCCACCUGGCCGCCUACAAAACCUCCCCCGCGGCCCCCUCAGACGAACCCUAGCCUCUCCUUCCCCCUCCCUCACGCCGCUGCUCUCUCCCCGCACACGGCUGAGCUCCACCGUAGCCGCGCCGUCGUCGUCCUCGCCGCCGGCAUCGUCGUCCUCGCCGCCGACGUCGUCCCGCAGCCCUGCGAACAGAUCCAGGAGGACCGCCACGGCCGACUUCGUCCAACCCGGGCAUCAAAUCGAGCGGAGCCUCCCAUGCGCUCGCCAUCGAGCACAUCUUCGGCGUGUACAUCGCCGUCGUUCGUCGCCGUUUGCUGCCACUCCAGUCCGUCCCCGGCCUCCCCGACCACGUCCUCGGCUCUGUGGCGAGCUUCUCCUCCGGAUUCCCCCUUCCUAUGCCUUGAUUUAGUCAUCGUUUGCCGUCCCCGAGUUCAUCCUAGUUCGCGUGUACAUGUACGUACAUGUGUGCGUGUUGCUCGUGCUGCUCUUGCUACUACCGCUGCCCCGCGCACCCGCGUCGCUGACCACGCCUGCAGCCGCCGCGCCCUUGCCCUGCCCGCUCGCGCUCGCCGCGACCAUGACCGUGCCCCUCUGCCGCCCUGGCAUGUAUUUUUGUGCAAGAGGAACUUGUGAUUUUAUCAAAUGGGUUGAUGGAGAGUGGCCACCAACACUAAGAAAGCACUGACCAAACUAUGUGACAUGUAUGAAAGUGAGAAAGGAGGCAGAGUUAGGGAUAGUCUUGAGCGUGGUGAAGAAAAGUUUCAGUUUUCUUGUGAGAGAAAAGCUACAGAUUGAGCACAGGAAUGUGCAAGCUAAACUUUAACAGGUUGUGCAUGAGAAGCAGGUGCCACUGGCACUAAAGGCAAAGCAGAACAUGCUCUGAUUAAGGUCAAGGCAGAAUUGGAGCGGAAGAAAAUUCUGGAUGGGGCAGCAUCUAUUUUCCGCAAAGUGAUGAGGAUCAAGGUGAAGAGGGAUAGGGAUACGGAUAGGGAUAGACUUAAGGUUGAGAAGAAAAAGCUUUUAUUGAAGACUUUUUUAAAGACAAAGAGGGUACCAGGGUAAAGAUUAGGAAGAUAAAGGACUUUUAUGAUGAGUAGUUAGAGACAAGUUAUGUAAAAAAUUCUUUAACUAGUAGUACUAUGUAAGUUGUUGGAAGUGUAGAACAUUUAGUUGUGUCGUAGAGCUUUAAAGCCCUCUAUCCAGAGUUUUUGCUCACAUUUAUUGAUUGUUAUAUUUGUUAAAUUAUUAUUUAAUUAUCAGUUGAA